GACGAACGCUGGCGGCGUGCUUAACACAUGCAAGUCGAGCGGUAAGGCCCUUUCGGGGGUACGACGAGCGGCGAACGGGUGAGUAACACGUGGGUGACCUGCCCUCAGCUCUGGGAUAAGCCUGGGAAACCGGGUCUAAUACUGGAUAUGACUCCAUGACGCAUGUUGUGGGGUGGAAAGCCUUGUGCGGCUGAGGAUGGGCCCGCGGCCUAUCAGCUUGUUGGUGGGGUGAGGCCUACCAAGGCGACGACGGGUAGCCGGCCUGAGAGGGCGACCGGCCACACUGGGACUGAGACACGGCCCAGACUCCUACGGGAGGCAGCAGUGGGGAAUCUUGCGCAAUGGGCGAAAGCCUGACGCAGCGACGCCGCGUGAGGGAUGAAGGG
rnacentral:rRNA from 1 species